rnacentral:rRNA from 1 species
UACGAAGGGUGCAAGCGUUGCUCGGAAUUAUUGGGCGUAAAGCGCACGUAGGCGGCAUUGCAAGUCCCAUGUGAAAUCCCACGGCUUAACCGUGGAAGUGCAUGGGAAACUGCAGUGCUUGAGUACUUAAGAGGAUCGCGGAAUUCCAGGUGUAGCGGUGAAAUGCGUAGAUAUCUGGAGGAACACCGGUGGCGAAGGCGGCAUCCUGGACCGGCAUUGACGCUGAGGAGCGAAAGCCAGGGGAGCAAACGGG